rnacentral:rRNA from 1 species
UACGGGGGGAGCAAGCGUUGUUCGGAUUUACUGGGCGUAAAGGGCGCGUAGGCGGCGUGACAAGUCACUUGUGAAAUCUCCGGGCUUAACCCGGAAAGGUCAGCCGAUACUGCGGGGCUAGAGUGCAGAAGGGGCAACUGGAAUUCUCGGUGUAGCGGUGAAAUGCGUAGAUAUCGAGAGGAACACCUGCGGCGAAGGCGGGUUGCUGGGCUGACACUGACGCUGAUGCGCGAAAGCUAGGGGGAGCGAACGGG